GACGAACGCUGGCGGCGUGCUUAACACAUGCAAGUCGAACGGAAAGGCCCUGCUUUUGUGGGGUGCUCGAGUGGCGAACGGGUGAGUAACACGUGAGUAACCUGCCCUUGACUUUGGGAUAACUUCAGGAAACUGGGGCUAAUACCGGAUAGGAGCUCCUGCUGCAUGGUGGGGGUUGGAAAGUUUCGGCGGUUGGGGAUGGACUCGCGGCUUAGCAGCUUGUUGGUGGGGUAGUGGCUUACCAAGGAUUGGACGGGUAGCCGGCCUGAGAGGGUGACCGGGCACAGAGGGACAGGGGUACGAGCCAGAGUGAAUCGGGGGGCAAGGGUGGGGAAUAUUGCACGAUGGGCCGAGGCCGGAUGGAGCAACGCCGCGUGCGGGAUGACGGCCUUCGGGUUGUAAAACGAUUUCGCCUGUGACGAAGCGUGAGUGACGGUAAUGGGUAAAGAGGCACCGCCUACCUAGGU
rnacentral:rRNA from 1 species